rnacentral:tRNA from 1 species
ACCACAUGGAUAGCUCAUUUGGUUAGAGUGUGGCGCUGGUAAUGCCACGGUUGCAGGUUUGAUCCCAGUAUGGGGCA